rnacentral:tRNA from 1 species
GGUUAAAUCGUAUAAUUGGUUAAUAUAUGGGAUUGCAAAUCCUUUGAUGGUGGUUCGAGUCCGCCUUUAACCU